UCCGCCGGCGCGCGGAGGCUCUGCUCUCCCCCUCAGCUUGUCAGUGCGCAGCAGGGCGUCGGGCUCAGCGGCGCAGGCCGCCCUGGUUCCUCAGCACCCUCGGGCCGGGCUGCGAAGCCCGGCAAAAAAGGUUGUUUCUCUGCAGUUUCCAACAUGGCAGACAAGUUUUAUAGACAUGGAUAAGAAGUCUACAUACACAAGUGCUGAAGAGGCCAGAGGUGGCAGAUACAAAGGUAAACACAAACAAAAGAGAGAUAAAAAGAGAAACCAAGAACAUCACCAAUGCCGACAUAGAUCUUGUUCUUCAGAUGAUCGUGUGUUUCCUUCUUCUUCAUCAUCUUCUUCAGGGAGUGAGACAGAUUCGAGUACUGAAGGUACCUUCUGAGAUGUCCAUGAUCAUGUCUGGUCCUCAGUCAUUGAUCCACACCAUUUGUCACUAAGAUGGCUUCAUUCCUGUCUGCCUGGUACCUUCCGAACAAAAGGUGAAACAUCAAGAAAAAGAGAAGAAAAAAGGCAGAAAUGACCACAUAUGUCACCUUUUCAAGAGGGGCUGAAACCAGGCUGAAUUUUUUGGUUUCCAAAACUCAGCCCCUUGGUUUAAGGUGGCCAAACAAGGAUGCGGAACCCAGCACUGUGAAACCUAUAAAAACGUUGAAGAGUUCAGGGAAUUGGGUGUCUUUCACACCAAUUCUAGACUCACAAAAUCAAUCUUCACAUCCUCUGUAACCACACAAUAAAGAGUUUGGAAAUCAUA